AAAAAAAAAAAAAAAGCUACAGAAAAAUUCACGGCUUUUCUCCGUCGCCCCCUCCAUUUCACAUCUCCUAUUUUCCUCUGCCUUUCAACUAUCUCGUCCUCUCUCUGUAGAACCCUAGAGCUCCAGCUAAUCUGUUCUCGAAAUGGGUAUUUAUGGACCUCUGCAUAUAAUAGUAGCUGUAUUAGCUUUAUCUCCAUGUUUCGCCUCUGCUGGAGACAUAGUACAUCAAGACGAUGUAGCUCCCAAGAGGCCUGGCUGCGAUAAUAACUUUGUUCUGGUAAAAGUCCCUACUUGGGUUGAUGGUGUUGAAGAUAUCGAGUAUGUUGGUGUUGGUGCCCGCUUUGGUCCUACUCUGGAAUCAAAAGAAAAACAUGCCAACAAAACUAGACUCGUUUUGGCAGACCCUCCUGAUCUUUGCAGGCCACACAAAAAUAAGCUUAACAGAGAAGUCAUUCUGGUGCAUCGAGGUAAUUGCAGUUUCACAACCAAGUCAAAUAUUGCUGAUGGGGCUAAUGCUUCAGCUAUUCUUAUAAUAAACAACCGAACAGAACUUUUUAAAAUGGUCUGUGAAGCAAAUGAAACAGAUGUAAACAUAGGCAUUCCUGCAAUCAUGCUUCCACAGGAUGCUGGUGCUAGCUUGGAAAAUUUUAUAAAGACCAGCUCCACAGUUUCUGUGCAGCUAUAUUCUCCACAACGCCCGCUUGUUGAUGUUGCAGAAGUGUUCUUGUGGCUCAUGGCUGUUGGUACCAUCUUAGCUGCUUCUUAUUGGUCUGCAUGGAGUGCCAGAGAAGUGGCUAUAGAGCAGGAUAAGCUUUUAAAGGAUGGUUCAGAUGAUUUUACACAUACAGAAAAUGUUGCAUCUAGUGGUGUUGUUAACAUCAACACAACAUCUGCUAUUCUCUUUGUUGUGAUUGCUUCAUGUUUCUUGGUCAUGCUUUACAAACUUAUGUCAUUAUGGUUUAUGGAUGUUCUGGUGGUUCUGUUCUGCAUUGGUGGGAUAGAGGGCUUGCAAACUUGCUUGGUAGCUUUGUUAUCAUGUUUCAGAUGCUUUCAACAUGCCGGAGAAUCAUUUGUUAAAGUUCCCUUCUUUGGAGCUGUAUCGUAUUUGACCUUGGCGGUCUCUCCUUUUUGCAUAGCAUUUGCUGUUGUUUGGGCAGUUUACCGUCGUGUCUCCUUUGCCUGGAUAGGUCAAGAUAUCCUUGGCAUUGCACUAAUAAUCACAGUCCUUCAGAUUGUUCAUAUACCAAAUCUCAAGGUUGGAACAGUUCUUCUCAGUUGUGCAUUCUUAUAUGACAUCUUCUGGGUGUUUGUCUCCAAAUUGUGGUUCAAGGAGAGUGUGAUGAUAGUGGUUGCUCGUGGUGAUAAGAGUGGAGAGGAUGGUAUACCAAUGCUAUUGAAAAUACCUCGGAUGUUUGAUCCUUGGGGUGGCUAUAGCAUUAUUGGGUUUGGUGAUAUCAUCUUACCAGGCUUGCUCGUAGCUUUUGCAUUAAGUUCUCAUCAGAAAGUAAAUUUGUAAGAUAAUAAGUUCAGACUGCAGCAUAUAUGAUUGGCUGACAAAUAAGAAUCUCCGAUCAGGUUACUUUCUGUGGGCAAUGACUGCUUACGGUUUAGGUCUCCUGAUCACUUACAUAGCAUUGAACAUGAUGGAUGGGCAUGGCCAGCCGGCAUUGCUCUACAUUGUUCCAUUCACACUUGGCACCUUCUUGACACUGGGAAAGAAGAGAGGUGAACUCAAAGCUCUAUGGAGAAGAGGAGCACCCGAGAGGCCCUGCCCACACGUGCAGUUUCAGCCCUCUCAAUCUCAAUAACACAUUCGUCAAUGAACAUACCUCACUGUAGUUAUAGUAAUUUUAGGUUGUCCUCUACACGGAGUGAAACUUUUACAUGUAUAAGUUUUAGGAGAGCGAGAGCUUAGUAUAAAAGUUGACCUAUUGCGACUGGUAAUUAAGAGUGAAUCUAAAGUUAGUUUGACUAAUUGUAAAAGGGCUUCACCGUUGGAUCCCUAUGCAUCACGUGUGCAUGAUUUGGAUUUAA